rnacentral:snoRNA from 1 species
UACCACGAUGAACCCUCAGAUAGGGACAACUGAUACUACGGUAUUUGAUGUGAACCAGGGAGUGUAUUUUAGUAGAUGCUUCUCACUUCUGAUG